rnacentral:rRNA from 1 species
UACGUAGGGUGCAAGCGUUGUCCGGAAUUAUUGGGCGUAAAGAGCUCGUAGGCGGUUUGUCGCGUCUGCUGUGAAAACUCGGGGCUUAACUCCGGGCCUGCAGUGGGUACGGGCAGACUAGAGUGCGGUAGGGGAGACCGGAAUUCCUGGUGUAGCGGCGAAAUGCGCAGAUAUCAGGAGGAACACCGGUGGCGAAGGCGGGUCUCUGGGCCGACACUGACGCUGAGGCGCGAAAGCCAGGGGAGCGAACGGG